rnacentral:lncRNA from 1 species
UCCUUUCUCUUUGUCUGGUAUCUUGGGACCAAGGCUACUUCAAGCCCACACCAAUUGAUGUUCAUACCCUCAAACACUCUCCACACCCCACCUGGACCAAACACAGGACUUUGGGCUCGUGCCUCAAGCCCAUGCAAUUCUUCUUCAUACACCACCUUUGUAGUGUUGCACCCCCCUACUUUCCUCAUUUUUCAUUUUUUU